rnacentral:rRNA from 1 species
GACGAACGCUGGUGGUGUGCUUAACACAUGCAAGUCGAACGGUAAGGCCCUUUCGGGGGUCCACGAGUGGCGAACGGGUGAGUAACACGUGAGUAACCUGCCCUCAUCUCUGGGAUAACAGUCGGAAACGGUUGCUAAUACUGGAUAUGAGCUUGCAAGGCAUCUUGUGGGUUGGAAAGAUUUUUUUUGGUUGGGGAUGGACUCGCGGCCUAUCAGCUUGUUGGUGAGGUAGUGGCUCACCAAGGCUUCGACGGGUAGCCGGCCUGAGAGGGCGACCGGCCACAUUGGGACUGAGAUACGGCCCAAACUCCUACGGGAGGCAGCAGUGGGGAAUAUUGCACAAUGGACGGAAGUCUGAUGCAGCAACGCCGCGUGCGGGAUGACGGCCUUCGGGUUGUAAACCGCUUUCAAUUGUGACGAAGCUUUUUUGUGACGGUAGCAGUAGAAGAAGCACCGGCUAACUACGUG